rnacentral:rRNA from 1 species
CCUACGGGCGGCAGCAGUGGGGGAUAUUGCACAAUGGGGGGAACCCUGAUGCAGCGACGCCGCGUGGGUGAAGAAGCGCCUCGGCGCGUAAAGCCCUGUCAGCAGGGAAGAAAAUGACGGUACCUGAAGAAGAAGCCCCGGCUAACUACGUGCCAGCCGCCGAGGGAAUACGUAGGGGGGAAGCGUUAUCCGGAUUUACUGGGUGUAAAGGGGGCGCAGACGGCGAUGCAAGCCAGGAGUGAAAGCCCGGGGCCCAACCCCGGGACUGCUCUUGGAACUGCGUGGCGGGAGUGCAGGAGGGGCAGGCGGAAUUCCUGGUGUAGGGGUGAAAGGCGUAGAGAUCAGGAGGAACACCGGUGGCGAAGGCGGCCUGCUGGACUGCAACUGACGUUGAGGCCCGAAAGCGUGGGGAGCAAACAGGAUUAGAUACCCUGGUAGUC